rnacentral:rRNA from 1 species
UACGUAGGGGGCUAGCGUUGUCCGGAAUUAUUGGGCGUAAAGAGCUCGUAGGCGGUCUGUCACGUCGGCUGUGAAAACCCGAGGCUCAACCUCGGGCCUGCAGUCGAUACGGGCAAACUAGAGUACUGCAGGGGAGACUGGAAUUCCUGGUGUAGCGGUGAAAUGCGCAGAUAUCAGGAGGAACACCGGUGGCGAAGGCGGGUCUCUGGGCAGUAACUGACGCUGGAGGAGCGAAAGCCGUGGGGAGCGAACAGG